AUUUAUAUAGUUUAAAUUAAAACAUUACAUUUUCACUGUAAUCUACCAGAUAAUUAUUUAUAAGUA
rnacentral:tRNA from 1 species